rnacentral:rRNA from 1 species
GACGAACGCUGGCGGCGUGCUUAACACAUGCAAGUCGAGCGGUAAGGCCCUUUCGGGGGUACGACGAGCGGCGAACGGGUGAGUAACACGUGGGUGACCUGCCCUCAGCUCUGGGAUAAGCCUGGGAAACUGGGUCUAAUACUGGAUAUGACUCCACGGUGCAUGUCGUGGGGUGGAAAGCCUUGUGCGGCUGAGGAUGGGCCCGCGGCCUAUCAGCUUGUUGGUGGGGUGANGGCCUACCAAGGCGACGACGGGUAGCCGGCCUGAGAGGGCGACCGGCCACACUGGGACUGAGACACGGCCCAGACUCCUACGGGAGGCAGCAGUGGGGAAUCUUGCGCAAUGGGCGAAAGCCUGACGCAGCGACGCCGCGUGAGGGAUGACGG